rnacentral:rRNA from 1 species
GCAGGCCUAACACAUGCAAGUCGAGCGCUGUAGCAAUACAGAGCGGCGCACGGGAGAGUAACGCGUGGGAACCUACCUUUUGGUUUGGGAUAACACCGGGAAACUGGUGCUAAUACCGGAUAAGCCCUUCGGGGGAAAGAUUUAUCGCCGAUAGAUGGGCCCGCGUUGGAUUAGCUAGUUGGUGAGGUAAUGGCUCACCAAGGCUACGAUCCAUAGCUGGUCUGAGAGGAUGAUCAGCCUCACUGGGACUGAGACACGGCCCAGACUCCUACGGGAGGCAGCAGUGGGGAAUAUUGGACAAUGGGGGCAACCCUGAUCCAGCCAUGCCGCGUGAAUGAUGAAGGCCUUCGGGUUGUAAAGUUCUUUUGCAGGGGACGAUGAUGACGGUACCCUGAGAAUAAGCUCCGGCUAACUUCGUGCCAGCAGCCGCGGUAAUACGAAGGGAGCUAGCGUUGUUCGGAAUUACUGGGCGUAAAGGGCGCGUAGGCGGUUUAGUAAGUUGGAUGUGAAAGCCCAGGGCUCAACCCUGGAAUUGCAUUCAAGACUGCUUUACUUGAAUUCGGUAGAGGUUGGCGGAAUUCCCAGUGUAGAGGUGAAAUUCGUAGAGAUUGGGAAGAACACCCGUGGCGAAGGCGGCCAACUGGACCGACAUUGACGCUGAGGCGCGAAAGCGUGGGGAUCAAACAGGAUUAGAUACCCUGGUAGUCCACGUUGUAACGAUGCAUGCUAGACGUUGGAAGGCUUAGCCUUCUUGUGUCGCAGCUAACGCACUAAGCAUGCCGCCUGGGGAGUACGGCCGCAAGGUUG